rnacentral:rRNA from 1 species
UACGGAGGGUGCAAGCGUUAUCCGGAUUCACUGGGUUUAAAGGGUGCGUAGGUGGGCUUGUAAGUCAGUGGUGAAAUCUCUGGGCUUAACUCAGAAACUGCCAUUGAUACUAUAGGUCUUGAAUUAUCUGGAGGUCAGCGGAAUAUGUCAUGUAGCGGUGAAAUGCUUAGAUAUGACAUAGAACACCAAUUGCGAAGGCAGCUGGCUACAGGUAUAUUGACACUGAGGCACGAAAGCGUGGGGAUCAAACAGGAUUAGAAACCCCCGUAGUCC